GUGACGCUUCCUAAGGCCCACUUGACUUCGCAUUCCAGGAUGUCUAGCUCUAGGAACCUGGGAAUGUCACUUAAUCUCAGUUUUUCCACAUCUGGCUGUACUUCAGGGCUGUACACCUUGGGAGGUUUUUAAAAAACAGGGAUCACUCUCCACCUCCAGGCAUGCCAAGCAACAGUUUACAUAACUCUCAUGAGUGACUGUGAUGUGCUGCUAAAUCUGAGAAAGAAAGGGUCUAACUUCACUUUGCUCAUUUGGGAAACAAUUGGCCCUGCUGCCUCACAGGAUGUCAUUAAGGUGUACAACAAUUCCCAAAGAAAGGCAAUGCCAAAGAAUGCUCAAACUACUGAACAAUUGCACUCAUUUCACACGCUAGUAAGGUAAUGCUCAAAAUUCUUCAAGCUAGGCUUCAACAGUACGUGAACUGUGAACUCCCAAAUGCUCAAGCUGGACUUAGUAAAGGCAGAGGGACCAGAGAUCAAAUUGCCAACCUCUGUUGGAUCAUCGAAAAAGCACAAGAGUUCCGGAAAAACAUCUAUUUCUCUUUAUUGACUAUGCCA